rnacentral:rRNA from 1 species
UACGGGGGGGCAAGCGUUGUUCGGAAUUACUGGGCGUAAAGGGUUUGUAGGUGGCCCGCUAAGUCACACGUGAAAUCCCUCAGCUUAACUGGGAACUGCGUGUGAGACUGGCAGGCUCGAGGGCAGGAGAGGAACGCGGAAUUCCAGGUGUAGCGGUGAAAUGCGUAGAUAUCUGGAGGAACACCGGUGGCGAAGGCGGCGUUCUGGACUGUCUCUGACACUGAAGAACGAAAGCCAGGGGAGCAAACGGG